rnacentral:rRNA from 1 species
ACGUCAGGGCCUAAGGUUAUUAACCUUAAACUUUUCCUCCCUACUGAAAGUGCUUUACAACCCUAAGGCCUUCUUCACACACGCGGCAUUGCUGCAUCAGAGUUUCCUCCAUUGUGCAAUAUUCCCC